AGGAGAAUUUGGAUUUGUUGAAACAUUUUUCUUAGCAUAAAUUUUCUUCCUUGUGUAAUACAUCUAGACGUUUUUGAAAAAAGCAUAGGAGCAACAUCACUGUCACUGUAUCUGGAUUUCCUGUAAUCUCCAGCAGAACUGCUGUGCUGAAAAUGAAGAAUAUACAUAUGUGGUGUUUAGAGUUCAGCCUUAUUUUCUUUAAAGUGGUUACACAGCAGCAAGGCCUUUACUGCUCCUCCCACUGCCCCGCCAGCGAGCAGGAUGGAGGUGAACAAGGAGUUGGGAGGCGACAGAGCUGUGACAGUGGACCCUGACUGACCAAAGGGAUAAUUCCACACCAUAUGAUGUCAUGCUCAGUAAUAAAAGCUGAGAAGAUGAAGUGAUGAAGAAGAUGAAGUGACAGCAUUUGUCUUCCCAGGUAACUGUUAUGCAUGAUGGAACCCAGCUUUCCUGGAGAUGGCUGAGCACCUGCCUGCUCAUGGGAAGUGGAGAAUGAAUUCCUUGUUUUAUUUUA